rnacentral:rRNA from 1 species
AACGAACGCUGGCGGCAUGCCUAACACAUGCAAGUCGAACGGGAUCCUAGCUUGCUAGGUGAGAGUGGCGGACGGGUGAGUAACACGUGGGAAUCUGCCUUUUGGUUCGGGAUAACCGCGGGAAACUGCGGCUAAUACCGAAUGCCCUCGAGAGAGGAAAGAUUUAUCGCCAGAAGAGGAGCCCGCGUCCGAUUAGGUAGUUGGUGGGGUAAAGGCCUACCAAGCCGACGAUCGGUAGCUGGUCUGAGAGGAUGAUCAGCCACACUGGGGCUGAGAUACGGCCCAGACUCCUACGGGAGGCAGCAGUGGGGAAUAUUGGACAAU